GGAUACCCACCCAAUACGAUCUGACCCGGAAUCACUCUGGGUAUCGUCUCCUUCAAGUUUCAACCGUCCGGUCAGUUCACAGUCGCCUGAGAUCGCUGACGGUGGCCGUAAUUGUGAGAAGGUGUAUGUAGCUGUUGGCAAGUCUGUGGACAAAGCUAUGGGCUUGCUUAAAUGGAGCUUUACGUGUCUUAAGUUAAAGGAAGUAUGCCCACGACUGAGGCUGAUCAAGUUCAUGAAGGGAUCAUUGAGAUGGUGAAGAGACAUGGCAUCAGGAAGCUUGUUAUGGGUACCAAACUAGAGAGUUAUAUGAAGGUGAAAAAAAGAGCUCCAUCAAAUCAAAUUAUGCAGCCAAAUGUGCACCCAGAUUCUAUGAAAUCUAGAUUGUCAACAGAAGAAAGCAUGUCUGAAGGUCCUAGGUUUCAUAAAAUGGAAGUUUCAACUCCAGCAAUUUUCAGGAGUAGGUCACUGCAAAAUAGAAAAGUAGUUUAUUACUCCGCCCAGAAAAUUUUCAUUCCAGAUCUGCAAGAACUGUAGUUUGUGCAGGAACAACCAAUCAGGUUCCGGAUGAAGAAGUUGAGGGGAAAGUGCUUUUAGCACCUGGUUUAUCUAAUGCAGGCAAUACAUGUUUUCCCUAUCAUCAGAGCUUACUUAGUGCAAGGAUUACUACCACAGACCCAGCAUAUACUAUUGCUGAGAGAAGGGUAUAUUCAGAUUAUGAUACAAAGGCCGAGGGAGAAUGUUUCUAUAUUCAACUUGAAGAAGCAACGCUAGCAGUUGAGAUGUUAAAGAAUGAAGCAUUUGCAGAGCAAUUGAAGUGCAAGAAAUUGGAAAAUGAAGCUACUGAAGCUAUCAGGAAGUUUACCAUGAAUUCAAUGCUCCAACUUCAUUUGGGGAAUCUAAAUUGUAGAUUUUGUUCCCUACAGGCAAGAACAGAAAAUAAAUCAUUGGCAAUCGAACAAUCAAGUUCAGCUUAAUGGACAAAAUGGUAGCUUUUCUGUUUCCCAUAAAAACUAAUCAGUUAGGAAAAAGGCUACUUUGCAUAUCCAAUAAUUUUAAGAACUAUGAUUCUUGAUUUCCUUCAGGCCCAAAGGUUUUGAAUCUGCCCAUGCUUGUGAAGUUAAACUCAGAAAGGAAGCUGAGGAUGCACUUGGAACUACAAUCCGGGAACUAAAGACGCUCUUGAAAGAAAGAGAAAAAAAGUAGGGUAGUUACAAAAGACCAUGAUAAAUGUUGCUGUUCUCGAUAGUCGGGCAAAGGAAGCAACCUAUAGUUGUUAUGAAGUUGCUGGAGAACUAAACUCAUACAGACAUCCAUUGCUACUCUCCAAGGAAAGCAGAGGGUGUAGCAGCAAAAAUUGGAAGCUGUGUGCUGGUUAGAGCAUUGGAGAAAUCAGGGGCCAGUUGGAGCUGCAAAGAUUUGCCAGAAUUAGCAGAAUUUUCACUGACAGAUAUGCAAACCGCAAGGUGCAAUGUUUUUGGAGAGCUUUUGAAUAGGUCGGGGGGAUACAAUUUGUGUUCACAAAGAGGAAGUGUUGGGUAGAACUGUGCUAUAGAAGACAAUCAGAGUUUCAAUAAGAGGAAAUAAUGCAUGAUCCUCGGGUUGCAGCAGAAGAUGGGUUCACUUAUGGAGAAGAAGCUUUACGUGAUUGGUUGGCAAAAUGGCUUUGAGACCACACCCAUGACCAACUUGAAACUGAGCAAUUUGCAUCUUACUCCUAACAAUGCACCAAGGCUUGCAAUUCAAGACUUGCUUUGCAGAUCCUGAACCCAAAUUCCCCAGCCACUUUUUGUAUGAGUAACCCACCUCUUGCUGCUGGGACCAAUGAAAAGGUGAUCUGAUUCUCGGCAUCACUGAAAGGAUGAUCAUCUUCCAUGGAAGUUCCAAUCCUGUGCUCAUCAUCAUUCUUGCUGCUCAAAAGUGGAUUCGAUUCAC